rnacentral:tRNA from 1 species
CGCGGGAUGGAGCAGCGGCAGCUCGUCGGGCUCAUAACCCGAAGGUCGUGGGUUCGAAUCCCACUCCCGCAACCA